CACGUAGGGUGCGAGCGUUGUCCGGAAUUAUUGGGCGUAAAGAGCUCGUAGGCGGUGUGUCGCGUCGGCCGUGAAAAACCUGCAGCUUAACUGUGGGCUUGCGGUCGAUACGGGCAUCACUGGAGUUCGGCAGGGGAGACUGGAAUUCCUGGUGUAGCGGUGAAAUGCGCAGAUAUCAGGAGGAACACCGGUGGCGAAGGCGGGUCUCUGGGCCGAUACUGACGCUGAGGAGCGAAAGCGUGGGGAGCGAACAGG
rnacentral:rRNA from 1 species